rnacentral:misc_RNA from 1 species
UAUUAAUAUUUUCUCUUUCUCUUUCUCUCUCAUUCUCUCUGUGUAUAUGUGGUUCAUCUCUCUCAGAAUCCUAGGGUUUGUUUCGUUCGUGUCAGAUCUUUACUCGAUCCUUUCAAAAUGUGGAAUUCGGCUGAGAAUGCGUUUACAAGAACGCCGUCGUUUCGCGAGGAAGGAGAAGACGAGGAGGCACUCCGCUGGGCCGCUCUUGAGCGGUUGCCCACUUAUGCUCGAGUACGGAGAGGUAUUUUCAAGAAUGUCGUUGGGGAUCAUAAAGAGAUCGAUGUUAGUGAGCUUCAGGCUCAGGAACAGAAGCUUGUGAUAGAACGAUUGGUGAACUCUGUCGAUGAUGAUCCUGAGCUAUUUUUCGAUCGGAUGCGGGAGCGAUUUGAAGCGUAAUUCUUCUUGCUAGAUUUUAAUGAGCUUGAGUCUGAUGAAUUUUUAUUAAUUUGAUAGUUUUUUUAACAUUUUCAGAUAAUUCAGUGCUAAAAGAUUUUAUCCUGCUAAGCUAGCUAGUUCGUACAUUUAGCAUUUUCUUUGAAUUCAAGAGGUGAUUUGGUUUGGAAAAGGACUUUUAGAUCUUUUCAUUUUUGGAUGUUCUUUUUGCAUUUUGCUGCUUCGGAAGUUUAGUCUUUGAUAUGGUUGAGAGUUGUUUGGAAGUUUGAAAGCCAAGUUGAUCAGUUGGUGAACUCAGUUGACUACAAUGGGGAAUAGUUCUUCUAGAUUGGAUGAGCUCACCUAAUUAUCUAAUUUUUUUUUGUUAAUUAAUAUGAUAGUUACACGGGAUUAAAAAUUAGUUUAAAGUUAACUUAUUUUAGACAUAAAAACUCUAAAACAACUAACCUUUUUUUUUUUCAAAAUGUUUUUUUCCCACACCAUCUAAUAUAUGCUGAUUUUUCAAAAAAUGUUUUUUCUUGGCUCCCAACCUCAACCCCAAAUGGGGGCCAUUGUUUGGUUGCUCAGAAGGAUAAGAAAGGAAACUAAAUUUUGAGUUAAAGUUCUCUCAUAUAUGGAAGAACAAUAUAGUUAUUGGAAUGGGUCCAAACGAGUAAAUUUCUGUUAGUUUAGGAGCGACACAGAUCUUCCUUCUUUUAUUAUCUGAGAUUCUGAUUAUUUUAUGUUUUCUAACCUCCUUGGCAUUUAGGAAAUUAUUGAAUACGUAAAUGCAGAAUUACUUUGUAUUUUAUAAUGAUUUAUACUCAUAAAUAAACCUCAACCUUUUGUUUUUACUACAAUUAAGUUUUCAUUCGACUUUAUUCACAGAGUAGAUUUGGAAUUUCCAAAGAUUGAAGUUCGAUUUCAGAAUCUGACUGUUGAAUCUUUUGUGCAUGUUGGAAGUAGGGCACUUCCAACCAUUCCCAACUUUAUUUGCAAUAUGACUGAGGUAGAAUGAUUACCAUUCCUACAGCUUUUUUGAGUACACAUUUUAUUCAGUUUUCUAUUUUUUUUUAAUUAUAUAAUUUUAAUUUGUUUCAUUGAAUCUUUGUCAAGGCAUUUUUAAGGCAACUGCGGAUUUAUCAAGGAAAUAGAAGCAAACUAACAAUUUUAGAUAAUAUUAGUGGGAUUAUUAGACCUUCAAGGUACAUCUUGAACUUGCACUGUUAUUAAUUGGUGAUUUUUGAGUCACAUGCUUAGCUUUCUAAGGUGCAAGUGAUAUGCUGUAGAUUGACACUGCUGUUGGGUCCUCCAAGCUCUGGAAAGACAACGAUGCUCUUGGCUCUUGCUGGACGUCUUGGAUGUAAUUUGCAGGUAUCAAGAUUUUGUUAUCUAGAAAUAUAGGAAGAGUUCUGGAAGGAACCAUCCUAUCUCUCGAAAUUCUGUUUGAGGAUCAUAGUCUAUUCUAAAAGGGUUAAACUGACAAAAUUUGUUGUUCUGGACUCUCUUGUUGUCUGCAUAUCCUAUAUAGAGGUAUAAACAAUGGUAGAAUAGUGGUUGAUAAAAUUAAAGUGUAGGUAGCGUUCAAUAGAGCUAUCAGCUAUCCUAUAUUGUCUCUCACCAUUGUCUUCUCCAUCUACAUAUCAACUAUGAUAUGAUUCAGAAAUCACAUUAUUCAUGCAACCAAGGAACUAUGUGUUUUCUAGUUAAAUAGGCAAAUGAAAGAGUUCUGGAUAAGUAAACAUUGUGCCUUGCACCAUUUCCUUGCUCGAUUGCUCAUUUAGUUGUAAUUCAUUUAUUCGUCAUUUCUCUUGAAGACGUCAGGGAAAAUUACAUACAAUGGAUACAGUCUAAAUGAGUUUGUUGCUCCAAGGACAUCAGCUUAUGUCAGUCAACAGGAUUGGCACGUGGCAGAGAUGACAGUGAGAGAAACUUUAGAGUUGGCAGGACGCUGUCAAGGUGUUGGUUCCAAAUAUGAUAUGCUUUUGGAACUUGCAAGAAGAGAGAAGAUUGCGGGCAUAAAACCUAAUGAAGAUCUAGAUAUAUUCAUGAAGUCAUUAGCUUUGGGGGGACAGGAGACAAGCCUAGUGGUGGAGUACAUUAUGAAGAUUUUAGGGUUGGACACAUGCGCUGACACGUUGGUAGGUGAUGAAAUGCUUAAAGGGAUCUCGGGUGGCCAGAAGAAGCGGCUAACGACAGGUGAAUUACUAAUUGGUCCAGCUAGAGUGCUGUUCAUGGAUGAAAUUUCGAAUGGGCUUGACAGUUCAACCACUUAUCAAAUCAUCAAAUAUCUAAGGCAUUCAACUUGUUCUCUUGAUGGGACUACUGUCAUUUCUUUGCUGCAACCUGCUCCUGAGACUUAUGAACUAUUUGAUGAUGUUAUACUUUUAUGUGAGGGGCAGAUUGUAUACCAGGGACCCCGUGAUUCUGUUCUUGAUUUCUUUUCCUCUAUUGGAUUUCAUUGUCCUCAAAGAAAGAAUGUGGCAGAUUUCUUGCAAGAAGUUACAUCAAAGAAGGACCAAGAGCAGUAUUGGUUUGCUAACCGCCCUUAUCGAUAUAUGCCUCCUGGGAAGUUUGUUCAAGCCUUUCGUGCAUAUCAAACUGGUAAAAGUUUGUAUGAGGAACUAGAAGUUCCUUUUGAUAAACGUUAUAAUCAUCCGGCAGCAUUAUCGAUUUCUCGCUUUGGUGUGAAGCAAAGUGAACUUUUCAAGAUCAGCUUUAACUGGCAAAAGCUACUAAUGAAAAGGAAUUCUUUUAUCUAUGUUUUCAAAUUUAUUCAGCUUCUUAUUGUUGCCUUGAUCACAAUGAGCGUAUUCUUCCGGACAACAAUGCAUCGUAGUACAAUCUAUGAUGGAGGUAUAUUUGUUGGGGCACUAUACUUUUCCAUGGUCAUUAUUCUUUUCAAUGGCUUUACGGAGGUUUCGAUGUUGGUGGCAAAGCUUCCCAUGCUUUACAAGCAUAGAGAUUUGCGCUUUUAUCCAAGCUGGGCUUACACAAUUCCUGCUUGGAUCCUAAGUAUGCCAACUUCACUCAUGGAGUCUGGUCUUUGGGUUGCAGUUACAUAUUAUGUGAUUGGAUAUGAUCCUGAUAUUACAAGAUUUUUUCGGCAGUUCUUGUUAUAUUUCUUUUUGCACCAAAUGUCUAUAGCUUUGUUCCGUGUCAUUGGAUCCUUGGGCCGUAACAUGAUAGUUGCCAACACAUUUGGAUCUUUUGCUAUGUUGGUAGUCAUGGCUCUUGGAGGAUACAUCAUUUCAAGAGGUAAAACUGAAGUUUUUGCAGUGUUUUUGUUUAAAAUGCUAUCUCACAUGCUUUCACAUUUUGAUUUCCCAUGACAGAAUACAUUCCAAGCUGGUGGAUAUGGGGGUUCUGGGUUUCUCCUUUGAUGUAUGCUCAAAAUGCAGCUUCAGUAAAUGAAUUCCUUGGUCAUUCUUGGGAUAAGAGGGCUGGGAAUGACACUAACCUUUCAUUAGGUGAGGCAUUGCUCAGAGCAAGGAGUUUGUUUCCAGAGAGCUACUGGUAUUGGAUCGGUGUCGGUGCUUUGGUUGGAUACACAAUUUUGCUCAAUAUCCUAUUUACAUUCUUUCUAGCUCACCUUAACCCUUGGGGGAGGCAACAAGCCGUUGUCUCCAAGGAAGAGCUUCAAGAGAAAGAAAAAAGACGGAAAGGUGAAAAUGUUGUAAUUGAAUUGAGAGAGUACUUGCAGCAUUCAGACUCACUAAAUGGAAAAUACUUCAAGCAGAGAGGCAUGGUCCUUCCAUUUCAACCGCUUUCCAUGUCUUUCAGCAAUGUCAAUUACUUUGUUGAUGUCCCCGUGGAGUUGAAGCAACAAGGGAUAGUGGAAGACAGAUUGCAGUUAUUGGUUAAUGUCACUGGAGCAUUUAGACCUGGUGUGCUUACAGCAUUGGUUGGAGUCAGUGGUGCUGGCAAAACUACUCUCAUGGAUGUUUUAGCCGGUAGGAAAACGGGAGGGACGAUAGAAGGAAGCAUUUGUAUAUCUGGUUAUCCCAAAAAGCAAGAAACUUUUGCAAGAAUUUCUGGUUACUGUGAGCAAAAUGAUAUUCAUUCUCCUUGCUUGACUGUUCUUGAAUCACUUCUUUUCUCUGCAUGGCUUCGGUUACCAUCAGAAGUUGACACGGAGACCCAACAGGCAUUUGUUGAAGAGGUGAUAGAACUUGUGGAGCUUAAUCCAAUAAGUGGAGCAUUGGUUGGUCUACCUGGAGUAGAUGGUCUGUCAACAGAACAAAGAAAAAGAUUAACAAUUGCUGUUGAAUUGGUUGCCAACCCAUCUAUAGUGUUCAUGGAUGAGCCCACAUCAGGAUUGGAUGCAAGGGCUGCUGCCAUUGUGAUGAGGACUGUGAGGAACAUUGUAAACACUGGGCGGACAAUUGUUUGCACGAUCCAUCAACCCAGCAUAGACAUCUUUGAAUCCUUUGAUGAGCUUUUGUUUAUGAAGCGUGGAGGACAACUAAUUUACGCUGGUCCACUUGGCCCCAGGUCUUGUGAUCUCAUCAAGUAUUUUGAGGCAGUUGAUGGUGUGACAAAAAUCAGGCCGAGAUAUAAUCCUGCUGCCUGGAUGCUUGAGGUUACUUCCUCAUCUGAAGAAAAUCGUCUUGGUGUGGACUUUGCUGAAAUUUAUCGAAGAUCUAGUCUCUUUCAACGAAAUAGAGAGUUGGUUGAAAGUCUAAGCAGGCCAAGUAGUAAUGCAAAAGAAUUGAACUUUCCAUCAAAGUAUUCUCAGUCAUUUUUUGAGCAGUUUUUAGCAUGUCUUUGGAAGCAAAACCUAUCUUAUUGGCGAAACCCGCAAUACACUGCAGUUCGCUUCUUCUACACUGUUAUAAUCUCAUUAAUGCUUGGAACAAUAUGUUGGAAAUUUGGAUCAAGAAGGGAGAAUGUGCAAGAACUGUUCAAUUCUAUGGGAUCCAUGUAUGCUGCAGUCCUGUUCAUUGGAAUUACCAAUGCAUCUGCUGUUCAGCCAGUUGUUUCUGUUGAAAGAUUUGUUUCAUACAGAGAGAGAGUUGCAGGGAUGUACUCAGCUCUACCCUUUGCAUUUGCUCAGGUUGUUAUUGAGUUCCCAUAUGUGUUCUGUCAGACAAUUAUUUACUGCGGAAUUUUCUAUUCCAUGGCUUCAUUUGAGUGGACUGCUAUCAAAUUUCUUUGGUACAUAUUCUUUAUGUAUUUUACUAUGUUGUACUUCACCUUCUAUGGAAUGAUGACAACUGCCAUCACACCAAAUCAUAAUGUGGCAUCAAUCAUUGCGGCUCCGUUUUAUAUGCUUUGGAACCUUUUCAGUGGCUUUAUGAUUCCUCGCAAGAGAAUCCCUGUAUGGUGGAGAUGGUAUUACUGGGCAAACCCUAUAGCUUGGACUCUAUAUGGCCUCUUGACAUCACAGUACGGUGAUGAUGAUAAACUCAUGAAACUAUCAGAAGGGGAUCACUUGGUACCUGUAAAGCAAGUACUCGAGGAAGUUCUUGGGUAUAGGCAUGAUUUCUUGGUUAUAUCAGGUGUCAUGGUGGUCUGCUUCUGCGUGCUUUUUGCAGUAAUUUUUGCCUUCGCAAUAAAAGCCUUCAAUUUCCAAAGAAGAUGAAAAGGUUGGUUUGUGCUUUUGAUUAAAUAAAACCUUGUAUCCCAGAAGCAUUUUCUGCCACCACCAAGUAUGAUGGUUGCUCAUAAAAUUGAAACAACAAAUUUCUGUAUCAAUAUAACUUUCUAGAAUGAAUUAUUUGUUUAUCUUUGCCAGAAAUUCUUCCAGGUGUAAAACAAUACUAAUACACGUUUAAUUGCUUUUUUAUAAGAAUUAUUAUAUAUAAAUUGUAGAUUAAAUUGCAUUAUUG